CUAGGAUUAAUGAGUCAAAGUAAAACACGCACGUGAAAUGCAUUGAAAGGACUCAAAAUAGUCAACAAUGUGUGUGUUCUCUCUCUCUCUCUCUCUCAAUUCAGUUUCUCCCUCCGCCGUGCCGGAGGUUGUCUCCGAUGUCGGAGGCAUCCAAAAAUAAAACCAAACACUAUCGCUCAACCUGUUUUGAUGCCCUGAAUCUGAAUCCACCGAUAGAAUCCUAUAAUUCCCCAAGAAUCAUUCGAGUUGAAGAAGAAAGUUGAAGAACCCUAAUUUUUAAAAGAUAAAUUAAAUGGCAACCACAUCAUGAUUCGAUCGUAGACCUUAAGGCUAUUGGUCCCCACCUCCUACUCAACCUAUCGGUAACAAGAAACAGAGAAGAAUAAGUUAAAUUCGGAAGACCUACCAGAGCAACUUGAAGAUGAAGAUGGAAGUGAAGUCUCAAGUUGAUUUGCAUAUUUAUAGGGCUUGCACUUGGUCUGUGUUGUUCUGCUGCAGGCAUGUAUUGUUUCUGCAGGUUCAUGGCAUGAUUUGUGGGUAGUUAGGAUGGUGCAAACAAUGAUGGACAUGGCUUACACGUGAAGAAAGCAAAAAAAAUCAAGAAGAUGGAAGCAUGAUAGAUCACAAAGGGCUAGGAACAAGAAAUUAGGGUCUGGGAUGUAGGAUGGGUUAGUUGACUUUGGUCAACUAGUUGACCAAAAAGUCAACAUUUGACCAAAAGUCAACUUAGGUAGAAAAUUGUCAACUUGUAAUUUUUCUCUAUGUAUGGACAUUUGAUGUAAUUAUAAUGAAUGCAAUUGA